GAAUGAAAUAAAUUUAAUAGGGAGAAGCAACAAAACAAUCAUACAGCUGGACGAAGGUCAUUUGUGCGGCUGAUGGAGAUGAAGUCUGAGAAUGAUCAAACUGUGGUUUAUUUCUUUAAAGAAGUGAGGUGGUCAAAAAAGAAGGACAAAUUUGUAACUCCCAUAACGGAAAAGCAAUAUUUGAUAGGAUAAGAUGGCUGCAAAUAUGUCAAAAUUGGAGCCUGAGAAGCAGACUAAGGAGGCUACAAUGACAAUUUUCAAGGAAGUUUUGGGUCAAAGGUCAGGAUAUGUAAGGGGGCCCAACGAGAUGGUUAUUCCCGAAUCAUCUAGACAAACAACUGAUGCUCAAAUAGCAAAAUUAACUGAACGUGCAGAAAAACAUGAGAAAGAGGCUGCAGAUUAUAAGGGACAACUUGAUGACUUACGAGAGAAUGUCAUGUUAUUACAAACCAAAUACGACAAGUUUAUAGAGAGAUAUGAGUCAGAGAGACAGACUCAGGGAUAGUAGAUUUGUAG